rnacentral:rRNA from 1 species
AUUGAACGCUGGCGGCAGGCCUAACACAUGCAAGUCGAACGAUUGGCGGACUGGUGAGUAAUGUCUGGGAAACUGCCUGAUGCAUGGGGAUAACCUCUGGAACCGGUAGCCAAUACCGCAUACCAUCGGAUGUGCCCAGAUGGGAUUAGCUAGUAGGUGGGGUAAAGGCCCACCUAGGCGACGAUCCCUAGCUGGUCUGAGAGGAUGACCAGCCACACUGGAACUGAGACACGGUCCAGACGCCUACGGGAGGCAGCAGUGGGGAAUAUUGCACAAUGGGCGCAAGCCUGAUGCAGCCAUGCCGCGUGUAUGAAGAAGGCCUUCGGGUUGUAAAGUACUUUCAGCGGGGAGGCGUUACCCGCAGAAGAAGCACCGGCUAACUCCGUGCCAGCCGCCGCGGUAAUUC